rnacentral:rRNA from 1 species
GAUGAACGCUAGCGGCAGGCCUAACACAUGCAAGUCGAGGGGUAGAACACUUCGGUGUUUGAGACCGGCGCACGGGUGCGUAACGCGUAUGCAAUCUACCUUAUACAGGGGAAUAGCCCAGAGAAAUUUGGAUUAAUGCCCCAUAGUAUUACGACUUGGCAUCAAGAUGUAAUUAAAGUUCCAACGGUAUAAGAUGAGCAUGCGUCCCAUUAGUUAGUUGGUAAGGUAACGGCUUACCAAGACGAUGAUGGGUAGGGGUCCUGAGAGGGAGAUCCCCCACACUGGUACUGGGACACGGACCAGACUCCUACGGGAGGCAGCAGUGAGGAAUAUUGGUCAAUGGUCGCAAGACUGAACCAGCCAUGCCGCGUGCAGGAAGACGGUCCUAUGGAUUGUAAACUGCUUUUAUACAGGAAGAAACCCUCCCACGUGUGGGAGCUUGACGGUACUGUAGGAAUAAGGAUCGGCUAACUCCGUGCCAGCCGCCGCUGUAACAC